AAAAAAAAAGUUUGCUGAUGCGUUACUCACUUAACUGUCCUCUAUUCCAAUGACAUUUUGAAUUUACAUCAGUAUGCUGCUUAUAACAUUCUUAGAGCUAAUUGCAUAUGAAUUUAUCACUAAUCAUCUCUUGGCAGUGUACUUAUAAAUACACGCUAUCUCUUAUUUGCCAUUGAAUUGCUUACCUCCUUGGCGCCGUUAGAUUCAGGUAUUUAUAACUUAAGAGCAACUACCCCCAAAAUUUAGUGACUUAAAUCAUUCCAAAACUAAGUGGCUUAAUACAACAGCCAUUUUAUUUUAUCUUAUGGAUCAGGAAUUUGAAGAAGCUUAAUUAGGAUGGGUUUUCUCUGCUCCCUAUUGAGGGUGGAGUAUCAUUAUUACUUCAUAUAUCUGACCCUAUAGCUAGGAUGGCUGGAGUGCUGAAACCUCUCUUUCCUCAUAGGCUCUUAUCCUUCAGAGCUUUUCUCUCCUUGUAGUUUUGCAUUCUACCAACCUUCAGGGUAUUUAUUUCCAUCUAGCCUCACCAGCAUGACAGUCUAGAUUGCUUUAUAUGGUAGCUGAGCCUUCCUAAGAGAGUGAAAAAGGAAGUUACAAGACCUCUGAAAACUUACUCUCAGAAGUAAUUUCUGCCUCAUUCUACUGGUAAAAGCAAAUCAAACGACCAACCAAGAUUCAAUAGAGGAAAAAUAGAUACCACCUGUUAUUCGAAGAAAUGACAAAUUCCAUUGCAAAAGGGCAAGUAGGAUGGGAAUAAUUCUUACAGCUGUCUUUGAAAGCAAUCAUCAACAGAUGCUUAGUGCUUAAUAAUUAAUCUGCUACUUAGUUGAUAUUUCUCAUCUGAAAGAGAGAGAUUUGGAAUAAUUGAUUUC
rnacentral:lncRNA from 1 species